GGAUUUCCGAAUGAGGAAACUCACAUGGGUAACCCCAUGUAUCAUGCACUGAAUACAUAGGUGUAUGAGGGUAAACCCGGGGAACUGAAACAUCUAAGUACCCGGAGGAAGAGAAAGAAAAAUCGAUUUCCUAAGUAGCGGCGAGCGAACGGGAAAGAGCCCAAACCAGAAACUUGUUUCUGGGGUUGUGGAUAGAUCAUAAAAGAAGAGGUAUCUUAAUCGAAAAGGGCUGGAACGCCCUACCAUAGAAGGUAAUAGUCCUGUAGAUAAAAAGAGAAAACUUCGAGAUCUAAUCCAGAGUACCACGAGACACGUGAAACCUUGUGGGAAGCAGGGAGGACCACCUCCCAAGGCUAAAUACUACCUAGUGACCGAUAGUGAAGCAGUACCGUGAGGGAAAGGUGAAAAGAACCCCGGAAGGGGAGUGAAAUAGAACCUGAAACCGUGUGCCUACAACCGAUCGAAGCACGUUAAAGUGUGACGAUGUGCUUUUUGUAGAACGAGCCAGCGAGUUACGCUAUGUAGCAAGGUUAAGUACUUAAGGUACGGAGCCGAAGGGAAACCGAGUCUGAAAAGGGCGAAAAGUUGCAUGGUGUAGACCCGAAACCGGGUGACCUAUCCAUGGCCAGGUUGAAGCGAGAGUAAAAUCUCGUGGAGGACCGAACCACGUUGGUGUUGAAAAACCAUGGGAUGAGCUGUGGAUAGCGGAGAAAUUCCAAUCGAACUCGGAGAUAGCUGGUUCUCCCCGAAAUAGCUUUAGGGCUAGCGUCGUGUAAUUGAGUAAUGGAGGUAGAGCACUGAAUGGGCUAGGGGCUAUAGUAGUUACCGAACCCUAUCAAACUCCGAAUGCCAUAUACUUGUAUCACGGCAGUCAGACUGCGAAUGAUAAGAUCCGUAGUCAAAAGGGAAACAGCCCAGACCAUCAGCUAAGGUCCCAAAGUGUAAGUUAAGUGGAAAAGGAUGUGGGAUUUCUAAGACAACUAGGAUGUUGGCUUAGAAGCAGCCACUCAUUUAAAGAGUGCGUAAUAGCUCACUAGUCAAGAGAUCCUGCGCCGAAGAUGUCCGGGGCUCAAACUUACCACCGAAGCUAUGGGUGUACACUACGUGUACGCGGUAGGGGAGCUUUCUGUAUGGGUUGAAGUCAUACCGUAAGGAGUGGUGGACUGUACAGAAGUGAGAAUGCUGGCAUAAGUAGCGAGAAAUAAGUGAGAAUCUUAUUGGCCGAAAACCUAAGGUUUCCUGGGGAAGGUUCGUCCGCCCAGGGUUAGUCGGGACCUAAGCCGAGGCCGAAAGGCGUAGGUGAUGGACAAUCGGUUGAUAUUCCGAUACCACCUAUUUACGUUUGAGAAAUGGGGUGACGCAGUAGGAUAAGAUGUGCGCACUAUUGGAUGUGCGUCUAAGCAUUUAGGCAUGCUUGAUAGGCAAAUCCGUCAAGCUAAGCUGAGAUGUUAUGGGGAGCCAAUUAUGGCGAAGUAUCUGAUUCCACACUGCCAAGAAAAGCCUCUAUCGAGUGAAUAGGUGCCCGUACCGCAAACCGACACAGGUAGGUGAGGAGAGAAUCCUAAGGCCAUCGGAAGAAUUGCUGUUAAGGAACUCGGCAAAUUGACCCCGUAACUUCGGGAGAAGGGGUGCCUACGAAAGUAGGCCGCAGAGAAUAGGCCCAAGCAACUGUUUAGCAAAAACACAGGUCUCUGCUAAAGCGAAAGCUGAUGUAUAGGGGCUGACGCCUGCCCGGUGCUGGAAGGUUAAGGGGAACACUUAGCGUAAGCGAAGGUGUGAACUUAAGCCCCAGUAAACGGCGGCCGUAACUAUAACGGUCCUAAGGUAGCGAAAUUCCUUGUCGGGUAAGUUCCGACCCGCACGAAUGGCGUAAUGAUUUGGGCACUGUCUCAACAGCAAAUCCGGCGAAAUUGUAGUGCAAGUGAAGAUGCUUGCUACCCGCGAUUGGACGGAAAGACCCCGUAGAGCUUUACUGUAGCUUAGCAUUGAAUCUCGGUAUUGUCUGUACAGGAUAGGUGGGAGACUUGGAAACUUGGGCGUCAGCCUGAGUGGAGUCAUCCUUGGGAUACCACCCUGACAGUACUGGGGUUCUAACCGGCG
rnacentral:rRNA from 1 species